rnacentral:rRNA from 1 species
AGAGUUUGAUCAUGGCUCAGAGCGAACGCUGGCGGCAGGCCUAACACAUGCAAGUCGAACGCCCCUUCGGGGGAGUGGCGGACGGGUGAGUAACGCGUGGGAAUGUGCCCUUUGGUACGGAACAACUGAGGGAAACUUCAGCUAAUACCGUAUGUGCCCUUCGGGGGAAAGAUUUAUCGCCAUUGGAGCAGCCCGCGUUGGAUUAGGUAGUUGGUGGGGUAAAGGCCUACCAAGCCUACGAUCCAUAGCUGGUCUGAGAGGAUGAUCAGCCACACUGGGACUGAGACACGGCCCAGACUCCUACGGGAGGCAGCAGUGGGGAAUCUUGCGCAAUGGGCGAAAGCCUGACGCAGCCAUGCCGCGUGUAUGAUGAAGGUCUUAGGAUUGUAAAAUACUUUCACCGGGGAAGAUAAUGACGGUACCCGGAGAAGAAGCCCCGGCUAACUUCGUGCCAGCAGCCGCGGUA